ACAAAAACAUCGCCUCUUGAUAAUAAUAAGAGGUCUCGCCUGCCCAGUGACAAACUUCAACGGCCGCGGUACCCUAACCGUGCAAAGGUAGCAUAAUCACUUGUUCUUUAAAUAAGGACUCGUAUCAAUGGCAUCACGAGGGUUGCACUGUCUCCCCCCUCCAAUCAGUGAAACUGAUCUCUCCGUGAAAAAGCGGGGAUAAAACUAUAAGACGAGAAGACCCCGUGGAGCUUUAAACCAACAGCAAUUUAGUAAAAAUUUCCUUUCAGCUGCAAAACCAUGCUAACGGCUUUGGGUUGGGGUGACCAUGGAGUAAAAUUUAACCUCCGUGUCGAAAAGAUAAUCUUAACCUAAGAAUUACUAUUCUAAGAAUUAGAAAACUAACGAACUAUGACCCGAUUAUCGAUCAACGAACCAAGUUACCCCGGGGAUAACAGCGCAAUCUACUUCAAGAGUCCUUAUCGACAAGUAGGCUUACGACCUCGAUGUUGGAUCAGGGUAUCCUAGUGGUGCAGCCGCUACUAAAGGUUCGUUUGUUCAACGAUUAAAACCCUACGUGAUCUGAG
rnacentral:rRNA from 1 species